GACGAACGCUGGCGGCGUGCUUAACACAUGCAAGUCGAACGGAAAGGCCCUGCUUUUGUGGGGUGCUCGAGUGGCGAACGGGUGAGUAACACGUGAGUAACCUGCCCUUGACUUUGGGAUAACUUCAGGGAACUGGGGCUAAUACCGGAUAGGAGCUCCUGCUGCAUGGUGGGGGUUGGAAAGUUUCGGCGGUUGGGGAUGGACUCGCGGCUUAUCAGCUUGUUGGUGGGGUAGUGGCUUACCAAGGCGUUGACGGGUAGCCGGCCUGAGAGGGUGACCGGCCACAUUGGGACUGAGAUACGGCCCAGACUACUACGGGAGGAAGCAGUGGGGAAUAUUGCACAAUGGGCGGAAGCCUGAUGCAGCAACGCCGCGUGCGGGAUGACGGCCUUCGGGUUGUAAACCGCUUUCGCCUGUGACGAAGCGUGAGUGACGGUAAUGGGUAAAGAAGCACCGGCUAACUACG
rnacentral:rRNA from 1 species